AAAUUCUAAUUCCUUGCCCUUUCUCCCUGCCUUUUUGCAGGGAGCCAUUUAUGAACGGCUCCAUUGGCAAAAAUAAAAAAAUUAAAAAAAUGGCAUUGACUUGCGAACAGAGCCUCGACCUCAUUUGUAGGUCAAGCUCCAUUCUCAAGUCAAUGCCAAUUUUUGCCAGCGGAGUCGUUCGUAAAUCGAAAAGUUCAUAUGCGGGGCCAUUUGGAAGUCAAAGGUUGACUGUAAAUAUUUUAUUCUGACUCCUUCAAUAUCUACAGAUAUCUUAGUAUAGAUAAGAUAGUGUGCUGAAGAAGACAUUAGCAUUCUAAUGAAUCCUUCCAUAAGGAUGCUAAAUUUAAAAAUGUAUACAUACAAAUUAUUUUACCAUGUAUUUAUUUAUAUGAAUGAGGUUCAUUCAGAACUUUGAGAUGUUCAGUAUUCACAGGACAAGUGCAUAUAAUCACAUUGAGAUUAUGUCAUGUGUAACAAAAUAAGUACAUUAUAGAAUACAUUCAAGUUAAAAAACUUAAAAGAUUUAUUUCAGUGUGAGCUUUUAUAGAUUACAAAACACUUCCUCAAAUACUAGGUGCAUAAUUGUUAGGCUACUACCUUAUAUACACAGAAUAGGUGGCAGAAAUGGGUACCAAGGAGGUGACAGUUACAUUGGUAAUUACCUUUCAAAAUGGCAAAGGCACCUUGAAUGCCAGUGACAAACAUUUCAAAAUGCUGAUCCCAUCCUACUAUCAGCAAUCCGCUCAUUUGCUAGUUGAAAUCAAUGGUAAGCUUUGAAGUAAGACAUACUUAAGAGUUUUGUCAGAGUGAUGUCAUGAAAAUAAGUUAUUCAUUAUGCCAAUACCCCAAGGUGUGGAUUAUUAUAUAUGAUGUGAUAAAAAUCCUGUUGAUUUACAAGCCUAAUGAUACAUCUGGGUGGUCUCUUUGGCAACUGCCCUGUCGAGUGAUGUCUUUUUAUUAUUAUUAUUUUGUUUGUCUUCUAUCAUGGCCACGGCAAGCAAGAGGAGGAGAGGGUUAAACUUCUCUUUCCUAAUGCAUCAUGAUCCUGAAGAAAUUCUAGACCAACCCAAUUCUACUGGUUUCUUCUCCAAAAUCCAGACAGACCUCUUAAUGACAAAUUUAGCAUCACUUCUUUGAUCUUCGGAAGCAUACACAAGAAACAGCACCUGGCUGCAUGUUAUUACCACAUAUGCUAGUUAUCUACACAGUAUCUUUAGUAAUACUUUUCCCUCUUAUUUUAUUGCUUUUUUUCUGUUUAGUUUGUUUCUUUUUGCUUCUACAUUUCAUGG
rnacentral:lncRNA from 1 species